UGCACCAUGGAAUGUUGUCGCUGGGAGCGAUGUGAUUGGUUGCACAGUGUAGUACACCAUGGAAUGUUGUCGCUGGGAGCGAUGUGAUUGGUUGCACAGUGUAGUGCACCAUGGAAUGUUGUCGCUGGGAGCGAUGUGAUUGGUUGCACAAUGCACCAUGGGAUGUUGUAUAAUUUUAAUUAAUAUACAGAAAACAAAAGAUUAAAUAUGAAG
rnacentral:lncRNA from 1 species